AGCCCAUGAAAUGGGCACAAACUUAGUAAAUCCUUAAAACGCUCCCAAUAAUCAAACAAUGAUUCCCUCCCUUCUUGCCUAAAAUUUGAUAUUUCACUCCUAAAUU